rnacentral:rRNA from 1 species
AUUGAACGCUGGCGGCAGGCCUAACACAUGCAAGUCGAACGGUAACAGGAAACAGCUUGCUGUUUCGCUGACGAGUGGCGGACGGGUGAGUAAUGUCUGGGAAACUGCCUGAUGGAGGGGGAUAACUACUGGAAACGGUAGCUAAUACCGCAUAACGUCGCAAGACCAAAGAGGGGGACCUUCGGGCCUCUUUCCAUCGGAUGUGCCCAGAUGGGAUUAGCUAGUAGGUGGGGUAACGGCUCACCUAGGCGACGAUCCCUAGCUGGUCUGAGAGGAUGACCAGCCACACUGGAACUGAGACACGGUCCAGACUCCUACGGGAGGCAGCAGUGGGGAAUAUUGCACAAUGGGCGCAAGCCUGAUGCAGCCAUGCCGCGUGUAUGAAGAAGGCCUUCGGGUUGUAAAGUACUUUCAGCGGGGAGGAAGGGAGUAAAGUUAAUACCUUUGCUCAUUGACGUUACCCGCAGAAGAAGCACCGGCUAACUCCGUG